UGUGUGUGUGUGUGUGUGUUGGUCUCACUGUCACUCAGGCUGGAAUACAGUGGCCCAAUCCUAACUCACUGCAGUCUCAAACUCCUGGGGUUCAAGCAAUCCUCUUGCCUUAGCUUCCCAAGUAGCUGCGACUGCAGACAUGUACCACCAUGCCUGGCUACUUUUUUAAUUUUUGUAGAGAUGGUGUCUCACUAUGUUUACCAGGCUGGUCCUGGACUCCUGGCCUCAAGUGAUCUUCCAUGGCACUUGGCCUCUCACUCUCUUUUUCCUUGGGGAAAGGGCAGAGUGAUGGUGCUAUAGUGGCUUCCAUCUGCAAAGCCAGGACAGGCAGGCAUCUUCUCUUCAGGCUUUCUGACUUCAGGUGGGGACAGGAAGUGACAAAGAUGGUUUGAUUGAAAAGCCAGGAAGUUAGCUCAGGUGUGCCACCGUGCCCGGCUGAGAACAUUUUACAUAUAUGCGAAAUAGCUACCCAGUCCUGAUCGACUAGAGCACUGAGUGACACACAUUAAAUGUUAAGUUUGAAAAGACUGUAAAACAUUCACAUAUGACAGCUCUUAGUGAAGUAAGAGCCUCUCAUAUUCCAUAAUUGUUUGAAACAUCCAGGAGAGCUAGGUCCCGUAUCUCCUCUAGAAGUGUGUAUAGGCUCCUUCCCUUUGUUUGGCGAUAUUCUUGAUAUUCCUCCUGAAUGAUGUUUACUUUGACUUCUUGGGCAAGCUGAGCUUCUUCCACAGAUUUAGUUACUUCUUUCACUAACUCACUCUUCAGCAAGGGGGAACUCUGAUGAAUAAGUUCUGUAUUUGGUAUCUUGUAUGGUUUGUUACUAAUUAUUUCAAGUCUGAUUGUAUCAGAAUGGCAACGUGAGGCCUGUAUGGAUAUUCUUACCUAGCAUAGAGAAGAAAAUACAUAUUACUAAAUCACAUUAUUUAUUCCUUACAUUUAAAAUAUUAAUAAUACUUAAUAGAAACACAGACUUACGGUUACAUGGUCAAACAAAUGGAACGUAACAGAUUCCCCAUCUGUUGUAGUAGAGGUAAUUUUGUUUUGAAAUCGUUGAAGGGAUCCUGGUUUCCAUUCAGAACAGCUAUCUGGGCCACAUGAGAUGACUAAACCAUCUUUAUUUUUUAGAUAAGCAGCACCUUUAAUCCCAAACCUAUAUUAUGACCAGAAUAUAAAUCCAGAGACAAUGUAUUCUUAGUACACAGAUCUUGUAUGCUUAUCUAGAAUACUAGUUUUUCUCCUAGAUUAAAAACAAAUCACUUUUCCUGUGGUUUACCUCCACGUAUUUAUUUCACCUUAGC
rnacentral:lncRNA from 10 species